GGUGGGACCCGUGCUGGCUGUGAUCUUCAAUCAUCUGCAUCGUCAUCGCCAUCCUGCUCUACAAGAAUAAACCUGACAGCAAACGCAAGGACUCUGAGCCAGGAACUAAAUGUUUGCUGAAUAAUGCUGAGAUGAUGGCACACA